GAUGAACGCUGGCGGCGUGCCUAAUACAUGCAAGUCGAACGAAACUUCUUUAUCACCGAGUGCUUGCACUCACCGAUAAAGGGUUGAGUGGCGAACGGGUGAGUAACACGUGGGCAACCUGCCCAAAAGAGGGGGAUAACACUUGGAAACAGGUGCUAAUACCGCAUAACCAUAGUUACCGCAUGGUAACUAUGUAAAAGGUGGCUAUACUACCGCUGUUGGAUGGGCCCGCGGCGCAUUAGCUAGUUGGUAGGGUAAAGGCUUACCGAGGGAAUGAUGCGUAGCCGAAGGGGGGGGGGGAUGGGCCACUGGGGGGCUGAGAGACGGCCCAGACACCGAGGGGGGGCAGCAGGUGGGAAUGUACCCAAAGGGGGGAAAGCUUGAAGAAGGAACGCCGGGGGGGUGAAGAAGGUCUGCGUGUGGGAAAACCCUUUUUUGGGAGAAAAAAGGGUUUGGGGGUAACGUUGCGUGUUUGACGGUAAUUGAACAAGAAGCCCCGGCUAAAUACGGG
rnacentral:rRNA from 1 species